GUUUCAGCAGCCGCGGUAACACGUAGGAGACAAGCGUUAUCCGGAUUUACUGGGUGUAAAGCGCGUGUAGGCGGCUCUGUAAGUUGGAUGUGAAAGCUCCUGGCUUAACUGGGAGAGGUUGUUCAAGACUGCAGGGCUUGAGGGUAACAGAGGGGAGUGGAAUUCCGAGUGUAGCGGUAAAAUGCAUAGAUAUUCGGAAGAACACCAGUGGCGAAAGCGGCUCUCUGGGUUACAUCUGACGCUCAGACGCGAAAGCUAGGGGAGCAAACGGGAUUAGAUACCCUUGUAGUCC
rnacentral:rRNA from 1 species